GUGCCUUAGUGCCGGUUUCACUUAGUAGCUGAGCAGUCUUGAAUGGUCCCAUAUUCUAUGCUCUGUGUCCUGCCGUUGUGUGCUGUGAAUCGUGUUCAGGCAAGGUCUGAAGUUGCGACAUGGAUGCAUUGACCUAUGAUGAUGUGUAUGUGAACUUCACUCAAGAAGAAUGGGCUUUGCUGAAUCCUUCACAGAAGAGUCUCUACAAAGAUGUGAUGUUGGAGACCUACAGGAACCUCAUUGCUGUAGGCUACAAUUGGGAAGACAGUAAUAUUGAAGAACAUUGUGAAAGCUCCAGAAGACAUGGAAGGCUAAAGGUUAUCAUCAAUAUUCAUGCACAAAAAACAGCAUGC
rnacentral:lncRNA from 1 species